GACGAACGCUGGCGGCGUGCCUAAUACAUGCAAGUCGAACGCAGUGGGGACGGGUGAGUAACACGUGGGUAACCUCCCAUCAGAGGGGAUACCACUUGGAAACAGGUGCUAAACCGAUACUGAUGGAUGGACCCGCGGUGCAUUAGCUAGUUGGUGAGGAAACGGCUCACCACGGCCACGAUGCAUAUCGGACCUGAGAGGGUGAUCGGCGAAACUGGGACUGAGAAACGGCCCAGAUACCUACGGUAGGCAGCAGUAGAAAAUCUUCGACAAGGGACGAAAGUCUGACCGAGCAACGCCGCGUGAGUGAAGAAGGUUUUCGGAUCGUAAAACUCUGUUGUUAGAGAAGCGGGAUCUAACCAGAAAGCCACGGCUAACUACGUGCCAGCAGCCGCGGUAAUUC
rnacentral:rRNA from 1 species